rnacentral:lncRNA from 1 species
GGGCGCCUGGGUGCGCUCGGAGCGCCGCUCCCCUCGCCCACACCUCGCCGGAGGAGCGGAGCCCACGCGCAGCCUCGGGCUGCUCCCCGAGGCCGCUUGCUGGGGCUCCCGAGAGGCCCCAAGGUUCCUGACAGAGCUGCUGUUGGGUGUUGGUGUAAAGCCGGGAAUGUAGUGUGGCGGUGAUGCCCUAGAUCCCUGGGGCCGCGCCCUGCCGCCCGUCCCCCAACAUCACCCUACUGUGGAGCGACGUGGCUGCUAAGAGGCGCCCUCCCUAGCAGGUGAUCAAACUCAAUCAACAGCUCCAAAAAGUUUACAUUACCCAGGAGCAAAAACGGACCUGCUGUGUUUCUACUACCUCUGCAACUCAUUCCCCAGUGGGAGGAAAGAUGCUUCCUGACCUCAAAAAUCAGACUCCAAGUUCUUCAGUUUUGGAAGUUGGACUGGCUCUCCUUGCUCCUUAACUUGCAGACAGCCUAUUGUGGGACCUUGUGAUCAGGUAUUCUGCUGACACUCAACAGACAUUGUCUUCAAAAUGUACUCUCAAGUGGUCAGGAUCCUAUUCUCAUGGUACUAUUUCCUCGCUUAGAAAAUAAAGGAUGAAAUGAACUACACUAUUGGAGCUACUAUAAAGAUGAAAGAAGAUGAAAGUUUUCAGUAGGAUUGUUGCCAUGUAGUAAACCCCUUAUAAAUAGUAUGUAUAAUAAUUUGUCACAUGCUGUUAGGUUAAGCCAUCAACAACAAACAUGGCAAUAAUUCAAGUUCAAAAAUACAGACGGGUUUGAAUUAACAUUGCACAAUGAUUUGUUUGUGUUUUCUUGUUUUUCCAAAUUCAGUGUUAUAUUCUACUUUCAUAUUUUGUGAGCAUUUAUUAACUGAACGACUGCCACAUGCAUGGCAGUGUGCUAAAUAUUUGAGUGCAUUAUGAUUUCACCCAUUAUGGGGUUUAAAUCCAUCUGAAAAGUAAAGAUUAAGACCCAUGAAUCUGUGCAUAAUUCAAAUGAUACUUAUUCACGUGUAUUGUGUGGUAGAGAAAAUGAAUGUAUAGGAAAGAAAGAGAAUGAAAGUGAAUGAGGAGGAAAAUUAAAUACAGUCAGGAAAGGCUUGAUAAAGGACUUAAGAACUUGAAUAUGAUUGUGAAACAUAGUUAUAAUUUCUAAGAACAGCUGAGGAAAAAAGCUUAAUUUGUAUAGUUUAUGAAGGAAUGCAUAUGUUUGUGUUUCACAGAAUUUAGAGUUAAGAAUACACACACACACUACACAGAAACUCAGAAAACCUAUGCUACUUGCUCAGGUAAUUAAUUACUAGUCAAUGGUAAAGUUCAAACUGAUGUCUAGGUCUCCUGCUCCUGUUCCAGUACAUUUUUACCGCAAUACAUUGAGUGAGCAAGCUUUCAAAAGCUUCUUGAAUUAUUCAUAUGGAUAUGGAAAAUCCUAUCUUACAACAUAAGGCCAUUUCUAUUUACAGAUAUUAAGACUAUGAAAACUUUUUUCAUAUUCAGCCAUCUCAAUGACUAAUUCUUGCAUCAUCAGUUUUAGUAGCACCAUAGCUGGAUCUCGUAAGUUCAUGAAAGGCAAUUGGGUGUGUUGCUUCCCAAAUCCAUGUUCAAUGAUAUCACAUUUGUAGCUUAAAACCAGCCAAACUAGUAGUAUGUGUACCAUGGAAAAUAAGGAUUUGUUUGUUUUUCUGAAGAUCUAGUUGUUAAACAUUUACCAGUACACCACUGGUUGGAAUAGUAAAUUCCAUACAGUGCCACUAUUAAAAUAGCUAAAAAUAUGAAAUUAUGUUUAUAAUCUUACAUAAAUUGACUUUAGAGUGAGACGUGGAAAGGUAAAAAAAAAAUGACAUGGUCUUUGAAUUAAAAUACCAGAAAUAGGCCAGGCGCAGUGGCUCAUGCCUGUAAUCCCAGCACUUUGGAAGGCCAAGGCGGGCGGAUCACGAGGUCAGGAGAUGGAGACCAUCCUGGCUAACACGGUGAAACCCCGUCUCUACUAAAAACACAAAAAAUUAGCCAGGCGUGGUGGCAGGCUCCUGUAGUCCCAGCUACUCGGGAGGCUGAGACAGGAGAAUGGCAGGAACCCGCGAGGUAGAGCUUGCAGUGAGCCGAAAUUGCACCACUGCCUUCCAGCCUGGGUGACAGAGCGAGACUCCGUCUCAAAAACAAAACAAAACAAAACAAAAAAACAGAAAUAGGGAAAUUAUUAGGUUCUACGAGAAGGUUCUCUCGUAAGUAAAAAGGAACAGUCUUUUGAAAUAUAGUGCAUAUGGAGUUUGCAAUUGUAGCUGUUUGUUGAAUAUCUAUGCAAAUUUACACAAAUUAAAUAGGAAUACCUUACCAUGAAUACACAUUUUAUCCUAGAAAUUCAAGGACAUUGCUAUUUCAGAAAACCUAUAAAUCUAGUUUGGUGUUCAUCAGUUGGUGAACUAUGAAUAAAAUGAUUAUUUUAAUAAAUGAAAAUAAGGCAUUUAAGUAAAAAUCUCAGUAACUAAGGUAAUGGAAUAUGCAAGCUACAUACAGAAAAAUGCAAGCCAGGAGCGGUGGCUCACACCUGUAAUCCCAGCAGUUUGGGAGGCCAAAGCAGGCAGAUCACUUGAGGUCAGGAGUUCAAGACCAGCCUGGCCAAUAUGGUGAAACCCCAUCUCUACUAAAAAGUGCAAAAAUUAGCGGGGCACGGUGGUGAGCGCCUGUAAUCCCAGCUACUAGGGAGGCUGAGACAGCAGAAUUGCUGAACCCACGUGGCGGAGGUUGCAGUGAGCUGACAUGGGGCCACUGCACUCCAUCCUGGGUGACAGAGUGAGACUCCAUCUCAAAAUAAAUAAAUAAAUGCAAUACUCUAUUUUAUUCAAGUAAAUAAUUACAAAAUGUGCUAAUUCAAUAAAAUUAAUAAAAGUGUGGUAUUUUAUUUCUAUAGACAUAAAUCCAGAAGAUUAUGCUGAAAACAUUAACCAUGCUUUAUUAAAAGAGAUCACGUUGUGGAUGAUUUUUAUUUAUCCUUUAGAAUUGUCUGCAUUUUUAAAAAAAGUCUCUACAGUGAAUUAUAUAGACUACUUAGUUUAUGAAAAUUAUGAAAACAAAAUUUACUGGAGACAAGAACUUAUUCACGACAACCACAAAAACUUAAAAUAUCCAAGAGUGACUUCAAUGGGAGAAAAAUUAAACUUAAAAUCAGAUAAAUGUUAAGUGUAUAUGAAUAAUAAAGAGGAUGAGGAUGAAGAUGAGAAGGAGAAGAGAAGAAGAAAUGGUGAAGUAAAUUUUAGCACACCGAUAAACGUAAUGCCACACACAUAUUUGUUUAAAUAAUUUAGGG